UACAGAGGUCCCAAGCGUUUGUUCGGAUUCACUGGGCGUAAAGGGUGCGUAGGCGGUCAGGUAAGUCUGAUGUGAAAUCUCUGGGCUUAACCCAGAAAUGGCAUUGGAUACUAUUUGGCUUGAGAGUUGGAGGGGGGACUGGAAUUCUUGGUGUAGCAGUGAAAUGCGUAGAUAUCAAGAGGAACACCGGUGGCGAAGGCGGGUCUCUGGGCCGAUACUGACGCUGAGGAGCGAAAGCGUGGGGAGCGAACAGG
rnacentral:rRNA from 1 species